AGCAAAGCGGCUAGUCAUUGUGGUGGAUGGCACUGCAGCCAUGGGCCCCUACUGGCGCACCAUUGUCUCAGACUACCUUGAAAAGAUCAUCAGGUACUUCUGUGGACAGUCAAGGGGGCAGGAGCACUCUGGUCAAAUAGUUGAGCUUGGAGUGGUUAUGUAUAAGGCUCAUGAUGGUAAAGGUAUG